CUGGGAUUCACUCCAAAUUACCCUUAAAACUGCUUUGGAGGACUUUGACAGAGACUGUAAUUCCAGGCAUGCCAGUUUUCAAGAUGAUGUUGACACAAAGGUUGAAGUCCAAAUAAUGUAAGCCACGUCCUACAUGUACAUGUACGUGCCAUGAAAGGACAUUAAGAGGCCCCGGCCCACAAGACGCCCCUUCUAGCUGCUUGUUUUCGCAAGUUGUUUGUGAUUUCUCCAAGAUGACUCAAACAAAGGUUUACCACCUGAAGACCCCCGGCCACGGUCAGUAAGUCCCCCUGAAAGUGACAGUAUACACACAAGUCUGUUUACCUUUUAACCACAGUCUGACAACCAAGGGGUAGAAAUAAUUGGAUCCGCUUCAUCACUCGGAAAAAUUAGGUUGUCUUCCGCCUUCUCACGUUGAGUGCUGACAUAAAGUGAGAUUGCACUUUUGAAAGCAGUUUGACACGAGAACUUGAGAGGCAAUACGACUGAGCGAGGACAGAUUAAAAUAAUGGUGAUUAAGCCCAACGUGUAAUUAAAUACGGGUGAUAAAGUGCUGUUUAAUGUUUUUAUAACAACCUUCCGUCAUGAGCUUUGAGGUUUGAGUCUGCUUGGGAAAUGAAUUCUUGAUUCUGCUUGAAGUUCCAGAUGUUGUGUCGAACUGGAUUUUAUUACUGAGCUGGUCAGUCAUAAACCGCUGUGCGCAUGUGCAGCCAAGCAUCGUGAUUUUAAGCGCCGGAAUGAUCUAACAUCUUGUCUUUGUUGUCUUUAAAGUUCCUGCCAGGAGUUAAUUUUUCACUAUGUCUAACUGCAAAUGUGAACCGGUUUGCGUAAGUUUAGAACAAAAAGGGGGGGAGAAGUCGAUAGAAGGAGAUUCCUUGAGUAAAAUGCUGCACAUAAACUCUGCUUCAUUGGCCAUCUCAAAUAAUCCCAGACAUGAACUACACAUGGUGAGAUUCCGACCGAGUAUAUACCUAACUUCACCUUUCACACACCCAUAUUCCAUCACCAUGUGCACAUUGCAAGCCUAUACCUAGAAAUAAUGAAUCAUGAUAAUUCCUUUAUAUCUCCAAGUCAGAGUUUGUUUACUUGGCGACUUAUCUUAUCAGAUUCCAGCAGAUUUAGACCUAAGCCCACGCUCUUGACCGAAUAGUUUACUUCAUUCUUGACGCUAUAUGGUGUAGAACUUAAGCGCCUUGAGCAUACGCGCCUGUGACUUUGUAUUGUGUGUUCAACAAACAGCAUGUGCUUUGUUUUGUUUCAAUUUCGUGAAAAUUUAUGUGUAAUCAAUCAACUUGCUCUUCGCUUUUUGAGCAAACGAAGCAUUUUUCUAUCAGCAACUGUUUCCAAAAUGUAGGUGUGGGUUCACAUUAAUCGCUGUCAUAAACUAUUUAUGGGGACUAAUAGUGUCAUUACGGUGCGAUGAAUCGGUCUGCCGUAACUUCUCAUAGGUAAUGGAAAUGUAUGAUGCAUCACGAAUGCAGAGUUCUUUGGGGUCAUUUAUUUGUAUCUUUGCCCAGCGAUAGAAAAUUGGUAAACAGGGCAUUCGUUAGAAAAUGUAAUCGCAUUGGUAUGAAAUGAUCAUUUGAAAGAACUAAAUACUUACAAUUUCCAAUUCACCAUGAAGUAGAAAUGCAUAUACGUGUAUAACUACGGGGGACACAGCAUUAAUGAUACAGAAAUGAACAAAUUUGAAUUGAUUUAUUACACACUUCAUAUCUAGCAUGUUCUCUUCAUGCUCGUGAAUUAAUUAAGCUACCACCAAUUUUCUUGACAAAAAGUUUCCCAUAAUGAACGCAUAUCUAAUGUAAUGUCGUCAUUACUUUGGAAUAUUGUUUGUCAAUUAUAUGAAAGUCUCACGGAACAGAGGAGGGUGAGAAAUCUUU
rnacentral:lncRNA from 1 species